CCUUUAGCUCAGUUGGUAGAGCAACUGACUCUUAAUCAGUGGGUCCCGGGUUCGAGUCCCUGAAGG
rnacentral:tRNA from 3 species